UGCAGUCGAACGAUGAAGCCCAGCUUGCUGGGUGGAUUAGUGGCGAACGGGUGAGUAACACGUGAGUAACCUGCCCUUGACUCUGGGAUAAGCGUUGGAAACGACGUCUAAUACCGGAUACGAGCUUCCACCGCAUGGUGAGUUGCUGGAAAGAAUUUUGGUCAAGGAUGGACUCGCGGCCUAUCAGCUUGUUGGUGAGGUAAUGGCUCACCAAGGCGACGACGGGUAGCCGGCCUGAGAGGGUGACCGGCCACACUGGGACUGAGACACGGCCCAGACUCCUACGGGAGGCAGCAGUGGGGAAUAUUGCACAAUGGGCGAAAGCCUGAUGCAGCAACGCCGCGUGAGGGACGACGGCCUUCGGGUUGUAAACCUCUUUUAGCAGGGAAGAAGCGAAAGUGACGGUACCUGCAGAAAAAGCACCGGCUAACUACGUGCCAGCAGCCGCGGUAAUACGUAGGGUGCAAGCGUUGUCCGGAAUUAUUGGGCGUAAAGAGCUCGUAGGCGGUUUGUCGCGUCUGCUGUGAAAUCCCGAGGCUCAACCUCG
rnacentral:rRNA from 1 species